GAAAAGGGUAUUAAAGCUAGAAGUUACUGUAUACUAGAGUUUGUUAUUUAAAAAAAAAGAGUUACAGCAUACCAGGAGGGGAACCUACUCAGUAAUAGGUGGCGUUGAAAAGAAUAGGAAGAAAGGAGGAAAAGAUGAAAUGAAGAGGAGAGAAACAGAAUAACUAAGGAAUAGUGUCUCGUGGUGAGGUAGUUCCAUGGUGGCUGCGAAGAGGAAGCAGAAGAAGACAAGCGAGGAAAGUGAAAAUGAAAGGAAAAAAGAGUAACUACUUUUUAUCGUCAAAAGUUUUUAAACAGGCACGUGAAUCGAAGAUGAAAGGGAGAUUUGAUGUUUGAAUACCAGAAAAACUAUUUAGAUGGGAAAGAUUUCUAAAAUAAAAUAACAGGUGAAUCGAGGUUAGUGAAAUGGAGAUUUGAUGUUUGACUACCAGAAAAGCUAUUUAGAUGGGAAAGAUUUCUAAAUAAAAACAAAAGGAUUCUUGGGGCAAUUUAUUUGUUAUGAUUGAUAUGUGGACGGACAAAGAUAAUUAGGAUGUUUG
rnacentral:lncRNA from 1 species